CGAAUAGCAAAAUUUCCAAGAACUCUAAAAAUAAACAUCCUGAAACUCAAUACAUUGUAUUUGUGCUGUUGUAUGUAAAUAUAUAGGACUUUGCAUGUAACAUGUUGCUCCAGUUUGAAAGUACAAGACGUUUAAUCGAAAAUCAAAGUGAGUAGCGUAAAUGUUUUUUUAUUCUUACUUUUAAAAUAUUUCUAUUGUUUUUAAGGUGGUACCUAACACUACAGGGAGAUAACUCUGUAAAAUUAGCUAAACGUUUAAUUACGUUGUAUAGUUUAGGAAAUAUCAAGCUUCUCAAAGAUCAAAAUUAGUGUUUUUCCAAACUGCUAUAUAUCCAAACAAAUUUUUCUGAGAAAGUGAUUGGUUCAAGUUUUUAGAAAAUUUUAUAUUUUUAUCAAAGGGUCAAAGUAAAUAUUUUGUCAAAAUUUUAUUAAAAUUAAACGAGCCAAAUUAAUUUUAGUCAAGGUGUUAGGUACCACCUUAAUUACAGUAUUGAUAAAUUUGUAUGUAACAUUUGAAAAACCGAAGUAAACUGAUGGUGUGAAAAUAUUUUUUUUCCGUACUGGCAUAUUAUAAUCAAAGAACCGAAGUACUGAACAUCGGAUGACUGCAAGUUCUUGUGGAUGGUCACAAGCACUUGUUUCAAAAUUAAAAAAGCCACAUCUCUAUACCUGACAGUGAGGUUAAUAUACAGAUAUAUAUUUUUUCUGAGACAAGUUUGUGAGUGGUAUAUGAUCAAUAGAUGACAGGGAAUUAAACCUCAUCGUAUUAACUAUCAUAUAGUAGUGAUAAAAAUCAGUACACUCUGGUUUGUUGUUAUAUAUUAUAUUAAUAUUUGUAUAUCAUAGUUACAUGUUUAUAUAAUUUUCAUCCAUUUGUAUAUCGUUCUCAUUCUAUUCUACUAUAUUAAUGACAGUGCAGUGCAAGUACAUGGUGGACACUAUUUUUCUAAUAGCUUGGAUUUGAGUAGGCAUUCAAAUUUUCUUGCAAAACGAUAUAUUUCCCAUGCAGAGUUGUCGAUCCUUGAGAGAGAACAAGGAUCGAUAACUCGGCUAAACGUUCUUGAGACAUCCUUCCGCAUGCCCUAAAACACUUUUCUGUACGUGUGCAUAGGCAUUAAAUAUUUUUUACUUAUAUAUAUUUUUUUAAACAACAAAGCAUUUUCAUAUUAUUGGUUUUUUUUCCUUAAAAACAUUUUUUUUGGGAGUAUCAAUGUCCGCGUUUUUAUCAUGUUUAUAGAUAGGUUACAAUCCCAACACGAAAGUUACAUAAUGGAAAUCUAGGCGACAGCAAUACAUCGGAAUGCUCUCACGGUCGUCCGAUAUAAAAAUUAGGUUAAAUUUCGUUUUUACCUGGUAGUCCAGUCAAUCUAGCAGAAAUUCGACCCUAACCUGAAAGUAAUUGCAACAGAAGAUAUUUAAGUUUUACUCUUUAGCAUUAUACCCCAAAUAUACCCAGAAAAUAAUCCCAAAAAAAUCUAUAUCGAGGAAGACUAAAAACAAUCACCGUUUAAAAUUCCUAUGGAGAUUUGCAUUGAAAAGGGAGAUAACGCUUGCUAAAAAGGCAGACAUAUCAAUAAAAAUUGAUACAAAAUUAUUACAUUACCGCUUCUAUUCAUCAGAAUGUAUCGAUUCUUCAUUUUUUAGCAGUCUUUAGAGUAUAACAAACAACUCUAAAGGUGUUUUCAUAUCUUUUAUCAAGCUAUAAUCUAGAUUUCGUGAUUCAAUAGGUGACCAUUUAUUGAAUUUUUCAACAUGUCAUGGUAAAGAAUCUCAAAUUUAAUAAGCAUGUAUUCUUCUUUUUGUUUCUUUAGACAAGUAAGACGCUGAAGAAAUAUAAUAUACAGAUAUAUACAAUACCAAAUGUCCACAUUAUUUUUGCAAAAUGGUCACAAAGCUUCAAAUUUGAUUUUUUUUUAAUGAAAAAUGCACUAACAAAAUAAAACUACCCAUAACACUUCGGUUUUGUACAUUUCAUGAGCAGAAAAUUAUAUAAUUUAGUCAAAUACCAACUUAUAACCCCAUCAAAGUAUCAUAUUUACAUAAAUUUCAAGAAAAUCAACCAAAAACUUACCAAAAAAAUUUUUACGAAGUUAUCUCCCCCUUCCAAUGUUAUUUCCUUAGGAAAUUAAAAAUGCUGAUUGUUAGUUUUCCUCAAGUAAGAUUUGAUGGUACUUUUUUCUGUGUAUAUUAAGGGCAUAAUGCUAUAAAUAAGAACUAAAAUAUUUUCUGUUGCAAUUAGUUUGAGGUUAAAUCUUAGAUUGACUGGACUAUGUUUAAAAUCACUAUCUACAAUAUAAUGAUAUUGAGUGCUGUUAUACGGUGCACAAUUACUAAACUAAAUACCUCUCCCCCCCCCCCCCCAAAAAAGAGCAAACAAUUGAAAUGAAAAUACAAAUAAAAAUAAAAAACGACUCCACAUACCACUUCGUAACGCAGAAUUAAAAUGAAUUUCAAAAACACAUAGUAAUGCUUAUACGAUAUUUUGUACAGACAAAACGAAUAAGAUGAAACCUCCGGUAUUUUCAAAUUUAAUGUUAAAUUCGCCACUCUUAUAUUAUUUAGCAAAGUAAAAGAACCCAUCAAAAUGAGGAUGUUGAUAGGGAACAUACUAUUCAUUUUAUUGAAUGUUAUCACAGUCGAAGCUAGUAAG
rnacentral:lncRNA from 1 species